UACGGAGGGUGCAAGCGUUAUCCGGAUUCACUGGGUUUAAAGGGUGCGUAGGCGGCCCUAUAAGUCAGUGGUGAAAUACUGCAGCUUAACUGUAGCAUUGCCAUUGAUACUGUAGGGCUUGAGUACAGAUGAGGUAGGCGGAAUUGAUGGUGUAGCGGUGAAAUGCAUAGAUACCAUCAAGAACACCGAUUGCGAAGGCAGCUUACUAAACUGUAACUGACGCUGAGGCACGAAAGCGUGGGGAUCGAACAGG
rnacentral:rRNA from 1 species